UCUUUUUACUGCAUCUGAUCAUCAAAUGGUAUUUCUAUGUUCGAAGUGAUGAUGAACUAAAUGAAAUUAGGGAUUUAAUUAACUCAUAUAAGCUUCUGGUGAGCAUAAUUCUCCUCAGUUCCAGUUUUAUGUGGGAGUAGCUGUAAUUCCAGAGUUGUGCAUCAUAUGCAGUAAUUCCAGAGAAUAUUCUGGCGUGUGUUGCCUUAAUCAUACAAUUUUCCUAGAAUAUGUGUUGGUGAGAUCCUUUGGAGUGAAGUGUAAUAUGAUUUUCAGUGCCUGAGUGUAAUGUUGAAUUAAUUUUAUUAUUUGAAUGUGUCUUAAAAUAUAUGUUUUUUUAAAAAUAAAAGGAGGCUGUAUAAUUUAUCAAGAGUACUGAAACAAUUGAUAAAUGUGGCAUAAAUAAGUACAAUGAAACAGUGAGUGAUAACAAUAUAAUUUGUUUAUAAAUGGCACACUAUGGGUGUGGUCAUAAGUAUUUGAUUCUAGAGGAUCAAGGUUCAUGGCAGAGGUUCUGUCCAGUGGAGAUGUUCUAUAAGGAAUGAUGUUGAAUGCACGUAGAGGUUCUACGAUGCUGAUAGAGGUGUGUAGAGGUUCUACACUAACAGAUUACGUAGAGGUUCUACGGAUUAAUAAAUGGUCACUGGCGUAGAGGUUCUACGUUCAGGCAGGCGUAGAGGUUCUACGUUCAAACCUGAGAACUGUGUAGAGGUUCUACACAUAACAAAGAAAGAAGGAAAUAAAAUAAAAUAAAUUGAUUAGUUAAGAGCUAACAUAAAAUUGAAAAAAAAAAAAACAAAAAAAAAGCAACAUUGAUAUAGAAGUCUCUAGUCCUGUGAAUCAAAACUGAAAAUGAGAAGUGAAAUGAGAGUCUGAGGAAUGUAAAACUGAAAUCUAAACUUGCAAAUUGAAAGUAGAAAGAAUAGAAUUGGUAAUCAAAAGUGAAAUUGAAAUCAUUUGAAAUGUUAAGAUGUACCAACAAAUUACUGACUUAAAACGUUCAAAAGUUGAGGUAUUAUGACUGUCUGCUGAAUGAAAAGUAUGUGGACUGAGAGCAAUUUAGAAGAGUUAAAAAAAAAUUAUUAAAGCGAAUCUGAGUGAAGAAACUCGGCUGUGCUGCUUUGGGCAGGAUCCCAACCUUGGAAAGGUUGGUCACCCAAAUAAAAAAUGUUUCGGUAAAGUUACACAGAAAAUGAAAUGAACCCGAGAUACUUUAUGUUAAGAGUGAUAGGUGUUGCGAAGUGUGUUUAAAUUGUGAAAUAAAAACAUGAACAUGUAAAUGUAACAAUCAAAAUGACUGUACACUAGACAGUUUGUAAUAAUUUUGGGGUUGGUACCCCUAACCUACAGUUUGUGUAGUUGUUUCUGAAUUUUAGACAGGGCAGUGGCGGCCGGUGAGCAGUAGUAAACAAAGAUAAGUUUUUGAAUUUAUGAUCUGUUAUUUCAUGUUUUGUGUGAUACAUAAGCAGUGUCAUCAGUCUCAAAGGAUAUUUUUGUUGCAGGAAAGUUAUUAUGAUUUUACAUGGUGGAGUAGCAUUCUUGAUAAUCAAGAAACCUUUGGAAAUCUAUAAAAUCAACAGCUGAGGUAAAUGUGUAAGACAACUGUUACAUUUCAUGAUGUUAGCAAAAAGUAAGAGUAAGAGAAAGGAAGUUCAGAUAACUGUGGAAAAAUGUAGUUACUUGUUUUUGGAAUCGUAAAGACACCUACUUGGAAUGUGAAAGUUUGGCAAAAGCUAUUCAUUGAAGAGUGCUAGGCUGCUGUAGAGGUUCUACGGUUCUAUGCAAAGUGUCGCAAAGUCAGAGAAUAUAAACGGAAAGUGAACUAGUUGAUGUGCAUUUGUGCCAACAGUCUGAAUUAAUCUAAAGUAUAAUGAUCAAUGAAAAAGAUUAUUGACUGUAACGUUUAAGAGAUGGUGAUGUAUGUUGAUUAUGAUUAUGUGUGAAUGUUUUGCAGUUGCCAAGAGUAUGUGGUUUGUCACGGUAAUUUAUCAGUUCUAAAGAUUGAAAAAUGUUUGCUGUUGAAAGACAGAAUUCAAUAUGGGUUAAGAAAAUGCAAGUGUUCUAAUAUGUGCUGAGUAAGGAGAAAACUGAAUGAGUAAUUACAGGUGUAUAUGAGUACAAUUUGUUCUAAACCCCAGGUUGGUUAAUAAUAGUGAAUUGGAUCAGAAGUCACUACGUGAUUUGGAAAGAUAAUUGUUGAAAUUUCAAUGAAACGCUGAAUGAAUGUUUGUAUGUUUGUUAAAUAUCUGCAUUGUUCCCUUAUGGUAAAAUGAACUAUUUGUUUUU